rnacentral:rRNA from 1 species
GAAACUAACUAGGAUUCCCUUAGUAAUGGCGAAUGAAGAGGGACAAGCCCAAAUUUGUAAUCUGGCUCUUUCAGAGUCUGAGUUGUAGUUUUGAGAACUGUUUUCAGUGCCUGCUCUGUGCAUAAGUCUGUUGGAAAGCAAGCAUCAAAGAAGGUGAAAAUCCUGUGUGUGGCAUAGAAGAAGGUGCUGUAUGAUACAGAUUCUAAGAGUCGAGUUGUUUGGGAUUGCAGCUCAAAGAGGGUGGUAAAUUCCAUCUAAGGCUAAAUAUAGGUGGGAGACCGAUAGCAAACAAGUACCGUGAGGGAAAGAUGAAAAGAACUUUGGAAAGAGAGUUAACAGUAUGUGAAAUUGUUAAAAGGGAAACAUUUGAAGUUAGUCUUGCUUUUGUUGGCUCAGCCUCAUUUGUAGAGGUGUAUUCCAGACUUGAGCAGACCAACAUCAAUUCUUAACAAGUGUUGGAUAAGGGUUGAGGGGGAAGUAGCAGUCUGUGUGCUGUGUUAUAAACCAUGACUUUGAUGCAAUGCUGA